CGCCUACGGGGCGCAGCAGUGGGGAAUAUUGCACAAUGGGCGCAAGCCUGAUGCAGCGACGCCGCGUGCGGGAUGGAGGCCUUCGGGUUGUAAAACGCUUUUGUUCAAGGGCAAGGCACGGUCUUUGGCCGUGUUGAGGGGAUUGUUCGAAUAAGCACCGGCGACCUACGUGCCAGCAGCCGCGGUAAUACGUAGGGAGCAAGCGUGAUCCGGAUUUAUUGGGCGUAAGGGGCUCGUAGGAGGUUCGUCGCGCCCGGGGU
rnacentral:rRNA from 1 species